UGGGGAAUAUUGCACAAUGGGCGAAAGCCUGAUGCAGCAACGCCGCGUGAGUGAAGAAGGUUUUCGGAUCGUAAAACUCUGUCUUUUGGGGCGAACGUGAGUAUGGUGAACAAUCAUAGUCAGUGACGGUACCAAAGGAGGAAGCCACGGCUAACUACGUGCCAGCAGCCGCGGUAAUACGUAGGUGGCAAGCGUUGUCCGGAAUUAUUGGGCGUAAAGAGCGCGUAGGCGGGAUAGUCAGUCUGUUGUAAAGUGCGGGGCUCAACCCCGUGAUCGCAAUGGAAACAGCUAUUCUUGAGUGCAGGAGAGGAAAGUGGGAUUCCCAGUGUAGCGGUGAAAUGCGUAGAUAUUGGGAGGAACACCAGUGGCGAAGGCGACUUUCUGGACUGUGUCUGACGCUGAGGCGCGAAAGCCAGGGGAGCGAACGGGAUUAGAUACCCCGGUAGUCCUGGCCGUAAACGAUGGGUACUAGGUGUGGGAGGUAUCGACCCCUUCCGUGCCGGAGUUAACGCAAUAAGUACCCCGCCUGGGGAGUACGGUCGCAAGACUGAAACUCAAAUGAAUUGAC
rnacentral:rRNA from 1 species